rnacentral:ncRNA from 1 species
CGAGAAUAGAGUAGCAGGGUGGUGUCUCCUGCGUUCGCUACGCGGAUCUUCCCUGCCACGG